ACACCGGGGACCGCCCCUUGUGGUCAUAGAGACGAAGCCGCUCGGCCUAGAGCGCCUCGCCGGCCUCCCGGUCGGCCACGCACUAAAACUGGGCUCAGGAAUCCAAGCUACACCCCAAAAUGGGGAGAACGCGGAUCGAAGGGAGGCCUUCCCGGCCGCGUCCUAGGUGACAGAUAAGUUAUAAUUUAUUCUACAUAUCGUUCAGAAGUCUUGUGCCUGUUCCAUAUCGUCAGCAGUCAUCGGUUGUAUUUACCCAGCCAGGCAUUCUAACUAAUGAUCUUCGCACAACAAAACGGCCUUUAAAAAAUCAGAUGUAUCGGCCGGGCGUGGUGGCUCACGCCUGUAAUCCCAGCACUUUGGGAAGUCGAGGCAGAUGGAUCACCUAAGGUCAGGAGUUCGAGACCAGCCUGGCCAAUAUGGCGAAACCCCGUCUUUACUAAAAAUACAAAAAAUUAGCCGGGCGUGGUGGCGCGCACCGGUAAUCCCAGCUACUCAGGAGGCCGAAGCGGGAGAAUCACUUGAACCCGGGAGAUUGCAGUGAGCCGAGAUUGCGCCCCUGCACUCCAGCCUGGGCGACACAGCGAGACUUCGUCUCAAAAAACAAAAAAAAUUAGAUAUAUCAACAGGCAUUUUAACCACUAUAAUCUCCACUUUCACUAGGGGAUGUUAAUUAGCUAUCAUAAUUGAUAUUAGAAAUAAUUCAUUGGUGAAAUAAAUGAUGUUCAAGAUAUGUGGAUUGGUUUAAAAUAAUAUGAAAAUACCUCAGCACUUACAGGAAUAGGGAUGCAAGAUUCUGAGCUGCCCAGCAGCCCACACCUUCUGCAGCAUGUUCUUUCCCCAAAAUUGUCCUUUUAGAGGGUUGGUUGUAUACCAUUGUCUUGUUAAAUAUACAUAUAGAUAUAUCUGGUCUGUUAACAUUGUUGGAACAUUUUGCAUGCCUUAUUAGCAUCAUAUUAAUAUUGGGAGGGGCUCCCAGGAGACCAGAGUUGACUUUGUAGAGGCAGACAUUUGAUUAAUCUCAUUUUGCAAUAGUGUUGGACUUUUCCUCUACCUGGUAGUAAGUGUGCUCACUGGUGCUAAUCUUCCCUUAUUGUAAUUGAUACAGUUUCCACUAGUAGAAUUAUUCAGUUCUCUACUGUGUAUGUACUUAUGCAUACAUUUAAACAAUAUUCAUAUAUGUACGUGAAAUUAAUUUUAAAAAUUAAAAAUAUUAUAUCAUAUA